rnacentral:rRNA from 1 species
UCGAACGCGAGCACUUGUGCUCGAGUGCGAAACGGGUGAGUAAUACAUAAGUAACCUGCCCUAGACAGGGGGAUAACUAUUGGAAACGAUAGCUAAGACCGCAUAGGUACGGACACUGCAUGGUGACCGUAUUAAAAGUGCCUCAAAGCACUGGUAGAGGAUGGACUUAUGGCGCAUUAGCUGGUUGGCGGGGUAACGGCCCACCAAGGCGACGAUGCGUAGCCGACCUGAGAGGGUGACCGGCCACACUGGGACUGAGACACGGCCCAGACUCCUACGGGAGGCAGCAGUAGGGAAUUUUCGGCAAAUGGGGGAAACCCUGACCGAGCAACGCCGCGUGAAGGAAGAAGGUUUUCGGAUUGUAAACUUCUGUUAUAAAGGAAGAACGGCGGCUACAGGAAAUGGUAGCCGAGUGACGGUACUUUAUUAGAAAGCCACGGCUAACUACGUGCCAGCAGCCGCGGUAAUACGUAGGUGGCAAGCGUUAUUCCGGAAUUAUUGGGCGUAAAGAGGGAGCAGGCGGCAGCAAGGGUCUGUGGUGAUAGCCUGAAGCUUAACUUCAGUAAGCCAUAGAAACCAGGCAGCUAGAGUGCAGGAGAGGAUCGUGAAAUUCCAUGUGUAGCGGUGAAAUGCGUAGAUAUAUGGAGGAACCACCUGUGGCGAAGGCGACGAUUCUGGCCCUGCAACUGACGCCCGUUCCCGAAAGCGUGGGGAGCAAAUAGGAUUAGAUAC